rnacentral:rRNA from 1 species
UACGUAGGUGGCGAGCGUUAUCCGGAAUUAUUGGGCGUAAAGAGCGCGCAGGUGGUUGAUUAAGUCUGAUGUGAAAGCCCACGGCUUAACCGUGGAGGGUCAUUGGAAACUGGUCGACUUGAGUGCAGAAGAGGGAAGUGGAAUUCCAUGUGUAGCGGUGAAAUGCGUAGAGAUGUGGAGGAACACCAGUGGCGAAGGCGACUCUCUGGUCUGUAACUGACGCUGAGGUGCGAAAGCGUGGGUAGUGAACAGGAUUAGA